rnacentral:rRNA from 1 species
CUACAACUGUUUUUUAAAAACAUUUCAUUUUUUGUAAAAUGUAGUCCCUGCUCACUGAUAAGUUAAAUAGCUGCAGUACUUUGACUGUACGAAGGUAGCAUAAUUACUUGUCUACUAAUUCUAGAAUUGUUUGAAUGGGUUUAUUGAUAGAUAGCAAGUUUUUAUUUAGCCUUGUUUUUUAAUUUAUACUUUCUGUAAAGAUACAGUUUGUUAUUUCAAGGACGAAAAGACCCUAGAGAGUUUUUAACUUAGUGGUGUUUCUUACUUUAGUUAUUUGUUGGGGUAACGGUAUUUAUUUUGAAUACUUAUUUAUUACAUUAUGAACUUCCUUAGGGAUAACAGGGAUAUAGAAUCUUGGAGGACAUAUCGAAGAUUUUGUUUUCUACCUCGAUGUUGAAUUGUAGUUAAAGAUAGGUGUAGAGGCCUUUACUUUUAGUCUGUUCGACUAAUAAUAUUAUUCGUGAUUUGAGUUUAGACCGAUGUGAAUCAGGUUGGUUUUUAUCCUGAAUUUCUGUCCAUUGUACGAAAGGAAUUGGA